CCUACGGGAGGCAGCAGUGGGGAAUAUUGCACAAUGGGGGAAACCCUGAUGCAGCGACGCCGCGUGAGUGAAGAAGUCAUUCUUUAUGUAAAGCUCUAUCAGCAGGGAAGAAAAUGACGGUACCUGAGUACGAAGCCCCGGCUACCUACGUUCCAGCAGCCGCGGUAAUACGUAGGGGGCAAGCGUUAUCCGGAUUUACUGGGUGUAAAGGGAGCGUAGACGGCAGUGCAAGUCUGGAGGUAAAGGCGGGGGCUCAACCCCCGGACUGCUGUGGAAACUGUACGGCUGGAGUGCAGGAGAGGUAAGUGGAAUUCGUGGUGUAGCGGUGAAAUGCGUAGAUAUUAGGAGGAACACCAGUGGCGAAGGCGGCUUACGGGACUGUAACUGACGUUGAGGCUCGAAAGCGUGGGGAGCAAACAGGAUUAGAUACCCUUGUAGUC
rnacentral:rRNA from 1 species